UCGUCACAAAAGAUUUUUUUUUAAGGCCACUUCGUUAAAAUAGGUGUUUCCAGUACUUCCUCAUUUGGGUAUUUUACACAAAAUCUGGAAUUUUUUUUUAUGUACAUGUCAUUAUAAUCAUCUGUCCCGCGCAACCAAACCAUCCACUUUUCCCGGUCACCAAUGUUCUUAACAAGAUAUCAAGAGAGAGAGGCUGGUCCAUUAUUUGCGUAGUCCAGCCAGCUUUUUUUUUUUUUUUUGACAACCUUUUUUCGUUCUCUCUCAUGAAGGAUAUGUUUUGAAAAUUAGUCUUACAAAAUACAAUUCCAAACCAACUCAUGCAGUUAACGUCUUUUCACAGUAUUGAGGAGUCAUCCUUUUUGCUAGCCAGAGUGUUAAUUGGCAAAAGUGAAAAAUUCAUUUGUUUAAUUUUUUAAAUUAUUAACAAGUAGAACCAUGGCAACCAGUUCUGAUGAUGUACCAGAAUGGCUCAAGGAUCAUACUUAUACUAUUUCUACUCUCUGGGCAGACAUUAAUAAUAUUGGCAUCCAUUCAAUAUUUAAUUUAUGUUUGGAAAUGCAAGAAAAAGGCAUGCAUUCCUGAAAAGUCAAUGAUUGGUUGCACCUCUUAAAGAUAACUUUCUGUUAUGAGAAAAGAUGAGAUUCUUGGACUCCUGCAUAGCACCACCAGAAAGGAAAAUCCCAUCAUGUUGCAAAAUAAAAGUCUUGGACCAAUUUUAAUUUAAGAUAUAUAUAUAUAUUAUACUGUAAGCUGUAUACAUAUUUAUGUAUAUCCUGUCAUUCAGCCAACAGGUUUGGAUUUAGUAUUUCUUUAAAUCUGUUUGAUAUUGUACUUGAAAACUAUUAAUCUGAGCCCCAUUAAAACAAGAGGGAGUGCAGUGGAUGAGUGGUAAGGGAAAUUGUACUUUUUUAAAAUUAAAAAUAAGAAUCUAACAAAAGUAAACAUAUAAAAUAUGGUGCAUUCUCCUUAAAACUAAAACCUGGUGCAAAGGUUUAAAAUGUUGGCAAAAAAAAAGCAACAUCAAUUAAAUAUUCUUAAUUCCCUUUGCAAAACUUAUUGAGAAGAACAUGCAUGUUGUUCCCUCAUAAGUUUCUUGACAGAGGAAAUCUUGUUUAUAUUAGAUUCGAAUUAAGCAAAUUAAGAAAAAAAUUAUAAUCAUUAUUUCAAAUGGUUGUAUCUAAACCUUAUGAAUUAUUUUUCAGUUAUAAGUAUAUUGAAAUGAAUGGAUAAUCAUGAAAUUGUUAAAUAAUUGCUGCUAUCAUUCCAUUGACUAAAGAACCAUAAUUUUUUUUUUUUAUUAAUUUCAAAAUGAUUUUUUUCAAGCAUAGAGUUCACAUAGAUCUUGAGUGAAAUUUUUCUUUUUUUGACUAAUGCUUCAAUUUUAUUGUAUCAUUAGUUUUUUAUUUUUAUUACCCAGAAUAUUUAAAAAAUGAGUACACUAUUUUCAUGUAAUAAUGUAACUUGGUAUUCACAUAUCAAAAUACACUAUAAUCUUUAGGCCAUAUAGAUUUGUAUAAAUAUAAAUUAACUUGCUUAAAUACAUUGUAAAUGUAUAUUGUUUGGAUAAGAAUAAAGUUUUUCUGUAGACAA